rnacentral:tRNA from 1 species
GCCUGGGUGGCUCAGUCGGUUAAGCGUCUGCCUUCGGCUCAGGUCAUGAUCCCAGGGUCGUGGGUUAGAACCCACAUCGGGCU